rnacentral:misc_RNA from 1 species
AAGUCGUAACAAGGUUUCCGUAGGUGAACCUGCGGAAGGAUCAUUAGCGAAGUUCGGAAUGCCGGUUCGGUGCUGCAGCUGCCCAGCCGAUGGGAUGUGCUCGUCCGGGCCGGUGUCCCUUCUCUAUUCCACCCCACUGUGAACCAAGCGUGCGAGCAGAAGAGAGAUCGGAAGCUCGCAUGCACACUUUAACAUACCCCUUAUGAAGUAUCUGAAUGUACCUUGCGUUAACUCGCACAAAUACAACUUUCAACAACGGAUCUCUUGGCUCUC